AUACGGAGGAUCCGAGCGUUAUCCGGAUUUAUUGGGCUUAAAGGGAGCGUAGGCGGACGCUUAAGUCAGUUGUGAAAGUUUGCGGCUCAACCGUAAAAUUGCAGUUGAUACUGGGUGUCUUGAGUACAGUAGAGGCAGGCGGAAAUCGGUGGGUAGCGGUGGAAUGCUUAGAUAUCACGAAGAACUCCGAUUGCGAAGGCAGCUUGCUGGACUGUAACUGACGCUGAUGCUCGAAAGUGUGGGUAUCAAACAGGAUUAGAUACCCUGGUAGUCCACACAGUAAACGAUGAAUACUCGCUGUUUGCGAUAUACAGUAAGCGGCCAAGCGAAAGCGUUAAGUAUUCCACCUGGGGAGUACGCCGGCAACGGUGAAACUCAAAUGAAUUGGCGGGG
rnacentral:rRNA from 1 species